CCCUUAGAUGUUCUGGGCCGCACGCGCGCUACAAUGAUGAAUUCAACGAGUUUAUAACCUUGGUUGAAAAGCCUGGGUAAUCUUUUGAACUUUCGUCGUGAUGGGGCUAGACCCUUGCAAUUAUUGGUCUCCAACGAGGAAUUCCUAGUAAACGCAAGUCAUCAGCUUGCAUUGAUUACGUCCCUGCCCUUUGUACACACCGCCCGUCGCACCUACCGAUUGAAUGGUCCGGUGAAAUCUUCGGAUUGAGACUUUGAUUUCUUCACGGAAAACGCUGUUUUAAAAAGUUGAUUAAACCUUACUAUUUAGAGGAAGGUGAAGUCGUAACA
rnacentral:rRNA from 1 species